AUUAAUUUUUAAGAUUCUGAACUGAAUUUGUGCAGAGUUUGGAAUUGAAUUAUUUAUUUAAUUUGUUGAAAUUGCUUCUUGUUGUGUUCUGUACCCUACUUUACAAUAAUCAAGGAAUCGUUUUUUAUGGAAAAUCUAUUAGUUUCAAGAAAAACCACUCCGAUCUACUUGAACUCGAAGAUCGUCUCAAGAGCAGCUACGACUACGUUCCAGCUCCAGAUUUUGAGGAUGAAGAGGAUGGGGAAGAAGAAGAAGAAGAAGAAGAAGGAGAGAUUUUAGCUCCUGUGCCGGAUUCUAGCUUCAACGAAGAUGAUUUGUAUCCUUCUCCAAUUUUUGGCUGCUGAACAAUUUUUAACAUAGAACU